GUGACUUUUAUGGAGAAACCUGGUAUAAAUAUAGGCGGAGUUGAAGCGUCAGAAUCAACCCGAACCCAGGCCUUCACGCUAGAUCCUCGUCGGACGUUGAAGCAGCGGUAUGAUUCGAGGUAAAGCUCCGACGACUCUCAUUUCUUUGAUUCUCCUGAAAAUAUGCGCUAACAAAUUUCGUCCGCGUCAGCUCCUGCAUCUCAAGCCGCCCGCGGGGCUCGUCUGUCAGAGAGCGCUAGACUCCAUCGCCUUGCGCUACAGCGUCGCCAGAGCCAACAAUUCCAACAGCCACAAGAACAACAACAACAAGAACCGCGGAGCCCUGAAGAGGAGUGUCUAAUCGGCGAGCUGGAACACGUGCUGUCCAGACAGCCGAGCGUGGAGCCUUCAACUUCCUAGAGCGGGGCCCCUGUGCUUCUAGCUGAGCAGCGCGUCCCGGAACAGGCGAGGCGAACCCCCGUGCGUCGUCCGGGGACUCCUCUUCCAAGGGGUCGUUCCGGUAAGUUUCUUUUUUUUUUUAAAGAGGGUUGUUUCUAUGGCCUGUGACUAACUCAAGACUGUUUUCAAUCAGAUUCCGCUCGUCCGGGACUACGAGGGAGGAGGCGGUUCCGAGGAUCGAGGCUGCUUUUCAAUAGGGCCGUUGAGCACAGAUUUGAGAGCGUCGUCUGGAAUGUUAUUGAGAGGAGUCUGAUGAUGAAUGAUUUGCUCCGCACGCUGAUGUGAAAACUGUGCUGGAAUGUCACUCAUUUGAUUAUUAAACAACAAGAUGGCUGAGGAAAACUCUGAUCUCAAUGAUUUACAAGCCGAAUUAGAGGAUGUGUUAACUUUGAUAUCCAAUGGCCAAAGAGGGUUUCGGGGUGUGAACAUAACCACCGAGCAUUUUGAUCGGUUGGAUAAUUU
rnacentral:lncRNA from 1 species